GACGAACGCUGGCGGCGUGCUUAACACAUGCAUGUCGAACGAAGUGGCGAACGGGUGAGUAACGCGUAAUCAACCUGCCCUUCAGAGGGGGACAACAGUUGCAAACGACUGCUAAUACCCCAUACUGAAGGCGGGGAUUUCGUCUGAUUAGCUAGUUGGAGGGGUAACGGCCCACCAAGGCGAUGAUCAGGAGCCGGGCUGAGAGGAUGAACGGCCACAUUGGGACUGAGACACGGCCAAGACUCCAACGGGAGGCAGCAGUGGGGAAGCUUCCGCAAUGGACGAAAGUCUGACGGAGCAAGGCCGCGUGAGUGAUGACGGACUUCGGGUUGUAAAGCUCUGUUAAUCGGGACGCGGUACCGGAAUAGAAAGCCACGGCUAACUACGUGCCAGACGCCGCGGUAAUAC
rnacentral:rRNA from 1 species